GAUGAACGCUGGCGGCGUGCCUAAUACAUGCAAGUCGAGCGAACGGACGAGAAGCUUGCUUCUCUGAUGUUAGCGGCGGACGGGUGAGUAACACGUGGAUAACCUACCUAUAAGACUGGGAUAACUUCGGGAAACCGGAGCUAAUACCGGAUAAUAUUUUGAACCGCAUGGUUCAAAAGUGAAAGACGGUCUUGCUGUCACUUAUAGAUGGAUCCGCGCUGCAUUAGCUAGUUAGUACGGUAACGGCUUACCAAGGCAACGAUGCAUAGCCGACCUGAGAGGGUGAUCGGCCACACUGGAACUGAGACACGGUCCAGACUCCUACGGGAGGCAGCAGUAGGGAAUCUUCCGCAAUGGGCGAAAGCCUGACGGAGCAACGCCGCGUGAGUGAUGAAGGUCUUCGGAUCGUAAAACUCUGUUAUUAGGGAAGAACAUAUGUGUAAGUAACUGUGCACAUCUUGACGGCACCUAAUCAGAAAGCCACGGCUAACUACGUG
rnacentral:rRNA from 1 species